rnacentral:rRNA from 1 species
AUUGAACGCUGGCGGCAGGCCUAACACAUGCAAGUCGAACGGUAACAGGAAGAAGCUUGCUUCUUUGCUGACGAGUGGCGGACGGGUGAGUAAUGUCUGGGAAACUGCCUGAUGGAGGGGGAUAACUACUGGAAACGGUAGCUAAUACCGCAUAACGUCGCAAGACCAAAGAGGGGGACCUUCGGGCCUCUUGCCAUCGGAUGUGCCCAGAUGGGAUUAGCUAGUAGGUGGGGUAACGGCUCACCUAGGCGACGAUCCCUAGCUGGUCUGAGAGGAUGACCAGGCAACAUGGAACUGAGACACGGUCCAGACUCCUACGGGAGGCAGCAGUGGGGAAUAUUGCACAAUGGGCGCAAGCCUGAUGCAGCCAUGCCGCGUGUAUGAAGAAGGCCUUCGGGUUGUAAAGUACUUUCAGCGGGGAGGAAGGGAGUAAAGUUAAUACCUUGGCUCAUUGACGUUACCCGCAGAAGAAGCACCGGCUAACUCCGUG